rnacentral:Y_RNA from 1 species
GGCUGGUCUGAGUACAGUGGUGUUUGCAACUAAUUGAUCACAAGUAGUUACAGAUUCCUUUGUUCCUUCUGCAUUCCCACUGCUUCACUUGACUAGCCUUUG